CAGUCGCCGCGGGAAUACGGAGGGGGCUAGCGUUGUUCGGAAUUACUGGGCGUAAGGCGCACGUAGGCUGCUUUGUAAGUUAGAGGUGAAAGCCUGGUGCUCAACACCAGAACUGCCUUUAAGACUGCAGAGCUAGAAUUCGGUAGAGGCUGAUGGAAUGUCCAGUGUAGAGGUGAAAUUCGCAGAUAUUGGACGGAACACCAGUGGCGAAGGCGAUCAGCUGGGCCGAUAUUGACGCUGAGGCACGAAAGCGUGGGUAGCAAACAGGAUUAGAUACCCCCGUAGUCCCUGUCUCUUAUAC
rnacentral:rRNA from 1 species